rnacentral:rRNA from 1 species
GCGAAAGCCUGACCGAUCGACGCCGCCUGAGCGAUGAAGGUCCUAUGGAUUGUACCGCUCUGUCAGAUUGCGAAUAACUCUUCGCGAUUAAUACCCGUGAAACUUGACGGUACCAUCAGAUCGAAGCACCGGUUAACUCCGUGCCACCAGCCGCGGUAAUACGGAUGGUGCGAGCGUUGUUCGGAUUCACUGCGUAUAAACGGUGCGUAAGCGUCCUCGUAAAUCACGUGUGAAAUAUGACCGGCUCAACCGUCUAACUGUCCCUUACACUGCUAUGUUUGAGUCCGGGAAAGGAAGGUGGAAUUCCUUGGUGUAGCGGCUUGAAACUGCGUAAAUCUCAGGACGGAACAACCGUGGCGGAAAUGCGAGCUUCUGGUCCGGUACUGAGCCCUUGAGGCACGAGCAAUCUAGUGGAGCUGAACAGGAUUUCGAUACCCUGGUAGUCCUAACCCGUAAACGAAUGUGCACUAGGUGUCGGAGGAGUCUACCCAUUCAGGUACCGCAGCUAAGGCACUUAAGUGCACCACCUGGGGAGUUCGAUCGCAAGGUUGAAACUCAAAGGAAUUGACGGGGGCCCGCACAAGCGGUGGAGCAUGUGAUCUAAUUCGACGCAACGCGAAGAACCGUACCUGGGCUCGACAUGCAGGGAACAGGUGCAGAAAUGUACCCUUCUUCGGACCCCUGUGCAGGUGCUGCAUGGCUGUCGUCAGCUCGUGUCGUGAAAUGUUGGGUUAAGUCCCGCAACGAGCGCAACCCACUGUCUUCAGUUGCCAUCAGUUCGGCUGGGGACUCUGGAGAGACUG